rnacentral:lncRNA from 1 species
AAGUGAAGAAAAGAGGAGAAAGAGAAAGGAAGGAAGGAAGGAAGGAAGGAAAGAAGAUUGGAAGGAGCAAAGAACAGGGAAAGUUAAGAAAAGUGGAAAGGAAAGAAAACACGACAAGAAAAGGAAGAGAGAGAAAAGAGGAAUUGGAGGCUUUGAGUUUCUUCCUGUUUAUAGACUUGAGUUAAAAAAAGAACUGUUGGAUUCAAACGGCAGGCAUCUCAUUGUGCACUCCUACCUUUGUAUAAAGAACAAAACACCAUUUACUCCCAGGUCUCUUCUGACAUUAAUCAAUAAGGCUGUUUCUCUUACCAAGGCACUAUGAGGGGAUGGGCACUACAAGGUGGUAAGGAGGGAUGGUAGAAUAAGCACUAACUAGUAGGAACAACUAUUAUUUGUGAGCUUUAAUGAGGUAGCAGGCACAAAAGGCAGUUAAUCUCUGCCUAAUGAUCUGAUGUAGUCCAUGAAGCCAUGCUAUGGGGCUGCAUUGCUUUUAUUGAACAAGGCUCUCAGUGUUAUCUCACCUCUUGCUUAGCCAAAAGCCACUGAUUUGAUUCUGGAGCUGUGGAAAGACAUGGUUACAUAGUUAUUUCAUAGCACUCAAUUUCUAUACUAUAAGGUGAGAAUGGGAAAGAACAGCUAUUUAUUUUUAAAGAGAAAUCCAGUUGGGUGAAGCCAAUUUUAUGCAGCUUGGGUACGAACAAUAAAUAUGUAAGUGUGUUGUAGGCAUUUUAUAUGGUUGUCUGAUAACCACCUUAGAUCACUUUUCUGGUGGAUUUUUUUGUUUUGUUUUGUUUUUUAAAGACAGGGUCUUGUUCUGUCACCCAGGCUAGUGAGAUCAUGGCUCACCAUAACCUCACACUCCCGGGCUCAAGUGAUUCUCCCACCUCAGGCUCCCAAGUAGCUAGGAAUAUAGGCACGUACUGCCAUAUCAAGCUAAUUUUUAAAUUUUUUGUAGAGAUGGUGUCUCAUUAUGUUGCCCAGGCUUGUUUUGUACUCCUGGCCUCAGCAAUCCUCCUACCUUGGCCUCCCAAAAUGUUGGGAUUAUAGGCAUGAGUCACCCAGCAUAGCCCAU